rnacentral:rRNA from 1 species
UACGAAGGGGGCUAGCGUUGCUCGGAAUCACUGGGCGUAAAGCGCACGUAGGCGGAUUGUUAAGUCAGGGGUGAAAUCCUGGAGCUCAACUCCAGAACUGCCUUUGAUACUGGCGAUCUUGAGUCCGGGAGAGGUGAGUGGAACUGCGAGUGUAGAGGUGAAAUUCGUAGAUAUUCGCAAGAACACCAGUGGCGAAGGCGGCCCACUGGACGUGUAUUGACGCUGAGGUGCGAAAGCGUGGGGAGCAAACAGGG